ACGGAGCGACGGAGCAUCAAUUUCAUCUGCCGGCGUACACCUGGCCCGUGGACCGCAAGAUAACUACAAAAUGAAUUCAAGAAAAUAUUAAACCUAGUAUGAAUGAUUUGGCUAGCAUUGUCAUGCGAGAGAGGAAAUUGUUUGCAGGAAUCUCAAUUUGAAGGCUGAAGAAUAAAACUCAAUCUAAGUACAAAAUAUUUUUUUGAACACCCGAUGAGCACCGACAGACCAGCUUCAUUGAUUUGGCAGAGAGCAUGCGAAAAACAGGUAUCAUGGUACAAGGAUACGCACCGCGACAAUGUCAUGUGUAUAACAGACCAUAGUGCAAAUUGUGAGCAUAGCUCAACAAUGCGUGGGAUGUUAAGCCCAGGAGGAAAGGCCGGCGCCACAGCACGUCCAUAACCGUCAAUAAGCACCUAACCAACAAUUAGGAUUAAACUAACCAAUCUAUAAUUGGAUGUUUAAAGGGACACGAUGAGGUGUUUACGAUGACUUCAUAAAUUUUAAAAUAAUAUUCCGGCUCGGUCUUUUGGAGGUGUUUAUAGAGAUAUCUUGUACAUGUACGAGUGAAUGUAGGCGUGUGUAUAUAAGUGUUUGCUUUUGUAUUGUAUUAAAAAAACAAAUUAGCAUAAGAACACUUGGCCUGGCAGACCAUCCAUUGAACGUCGCAUAGCGUGGAACAGCUGCUGCCUGCUGCCGGGGUUUACCGGAUCUGCAAUUCCACGUUUUCAAACAACAUAGAAAUUGUGCGCGGUUGUCAGGGGCUGACCCUUGCUAUGGUGAGUUGGGUCGAGGCAUUGAUACGAAUAUUUAUCUCCCGCAAAUGCGCGCUCCCUAUACCCGAAUGGUGAUUCAGAAAAUAAAAAUAACUACAAAAUGAAUUCAAGGAAAUAUCAAACCUGUUGUUAAUGAUUUGUAAACCUUUCCUGGAAUCUCAAUUUGGGGGCUGAAGAAUAAAAGUCUGUACAAAUUGUGAGCAUAGAACGAUUGAGUCCAGUAGUAAAGGCCCGCGCCGCAACUUCGCAGCUAACUCAGACCCCUCAAAAAAGAUAAUGUGUCAUUGGUCACGCGGUCGACUAAUGAUGGACGCAUCUGUUGUCUUGUUUUGCUCGGUUGUCGACUCCUCAAUGUCAUGCAUUGUUGUCUUCAUUUGGCGCUCGAUCGUUGGUAUCGUCCUGUGACAGCUGGCCGCCGCAUUGCUCGUUAAGGCUGGCAUGCGCACGUGACGGGGAGCCUCAAGCCCGUUGGCCGGCUGGUCGUAGUCCGCCAUUGUCAUGUCGUCAUUUGUCUCUACCAUGUCGACGUAUUCAUGACACGAUAAAGAGGGUGCAAGAGUCAUGGAGAAUGCGACUCCAUCAAGACGUGUAGAGUGUGAGUCUAUCGUAAACCACAAUCAGAUGCAUGCCAUUCAUGUCUAACUCUCGGACUCUCUCCCGAUACCUAUCACUCUUAUCAAUGGUCACUUAGGCUGCCGAGAUCCCAAGCCAAGAGGUGAAAGAGAAGAACAACAAACCUAGCAUGGUCGCUAAUUCUUCCAACUCUCGGAAAGUGACAUCUGAAAAAUAUGUUCGAAGGGAAAUGGGGAUGUGUAAAUAUAUAGGCAGUAGCUGAACUUGAAAAUUUCUGCAAUGAGGGUGAGGGAUUGCAUGACAUAAAGAGCAUAGGUUACGUACGAUAUUAGGUUACGUGAGUUAUUCUUUUCAGGUUAAAAUAAGUAAUAAAUUGAGACUACAACUUUUACUUAUUUUGAGAGUCUCGCGCAUGACAUGAGAAAAUAAUAUAUAUAAUACCACAUUGAUAUAUAUAUAAUGGGUCUAUUCUACUAACACUCCUUAUUCUACUAACAAAAAUUUAUUUCCGCAAACAAAUCCAAUCGAACUGUCUAAAACUACAACUAAAAAUACGAACCGACCGUGCCAACGAACUGUACACAACCCACCUGCACACAGACCACCAACCCGCCCGCCAUCUUCCCCAGCCGCACCCCACUCAACCUCCAAGCAACCCACAAGAUCUCACGCAGCACACAAUCACCGGAGCCCGGCCCCACCCCGCCUCCUUGUUUCGGCUGCUACCCUACGCCGUCGACACCGAAUGCAACCUUGUGAUGCCACUUCUCCUUCUGCAUCGUCUGAGGUGAGCAGUGCCUCCCUGCAUGCCCACCUCCCUCCCUCAUAGAACCACCUUACCCACUGCAGCUAGGGGUGGAUUAACGAGCUGAUCGGCUUGUUAAGGCUCGGCUCAUUAAGCUUGUUAAGUUUAACGGGCGGAAAACCUUGCUUGAUUAUGUUUAUUAGAAGCUUGUUAAGCUCGUGCGUGGUCACGAGCGCCACUAAUAGACUAUGAUGUGUUUCAAUCUACGGGAUGAGGACAAAGUGUAGGUGUGAGUUUUACAAAGGAAGACGGUGUAGUGGCAUAGAUAGACCGGCAUAACGGUAUCAAGAAUGAACAAGGCGAAACGGAUAGGGUCAGUCUAUGACUCGCCCCUCUUGGAGAGAGCCUUUUCCUUGCGUCCUGCUGGAUGGAGGUUGCUGCAGCAGCUUUCUCCCGCGCCUCCAGGUCGGCAAGCGCGGCGAGCUUCACCUUCUCGUCGGAGGAAAGGAGCUCGUCGAGAGCCUUGUACAGGCCGACGCGCAUCUUGGAGAUCUCCUCGGCAACCAGGGUUUCAGCACGGUCCCGAGUGGCCCUGUCGCUCAUGAAGCGGAAGUCGUACACGGCGGCGACGCCUCUACCAAUCUUCAAGCCAGUACUGUAUAAGCAACACGCUGGGCUACCUUACCAACGUCCAGAUCGGCCUCGAAGGUGCGAUCCGCGGAUGUAUUGAUAGCGGCUGCAAGCCUCCUAUUCGCUCGAUCGACUGCCGCAUAGGUGAUCCCGUGCCAUUCCACCGACUCGGCCUCGAUCCGCGCCAGACUGGAUUCGAGGCGGAUCAGCUCGGCUUGUGAGAGGAGGCGUCGAGGGGCGCGGAUGGUCUGAGUUUUACAAAGAGGACGCGGGAGUCAUGGAGAAUGUGACUCCAUCAAGACGCGUAGAGUGUGAGUAAACUAUAACCCACAAUCAGAUGCAUGCCAUUCAUGUCUAACUCUCGGACUCUCUCCCGAUACCUAUCACUCUUAUCAAUGGUUAGACACUUAGGUUGCCGAGAUAUCAAGCCAAGAGCUGAAAGAGAAGAACAACAAACCUAGCAUGGUCGCUAAUUCUUCCAACUCUCGGAAAGUGACAUCUCAAAAAUACGUUGGUAGGGAAGUGGGGAUGUGUAAAUAUGUAGGCAGUAGCUGAACUUGAGAAUUUCUAUAAUGAAGGUGAGAGAUUGCAUGACAUGAAGAGCACAUAUUACGUACGAUAUUGGGUGGCAAGAGUUAUUCUUGUUUAGGUUAAAACUACAAAUAAUUUGAAACUACAACUUUUACUUAUGUUGAGAGUCUAGCACAUGACAUAAAAAAUAGUAUAUAUAUAUAUAUGGUAAAGUGUUUGGGGCCCCUAGGUGCCUGGGCACCUAGAGCAUCAGCCGUUGAUCAACACAUCACCAUAUCGGGUUUACAAUUGCUCAACCCGUUAGAAAUAGGUAUUUAUUACCCAGCCACGUCCUAAUAACCAGCCACCAUUCGCACCUUCCACGAUUCCAACCUUCCAAGUUUACUGCUGCUGUUUUAUUGGAUUGUUUCUAAAAAUAAAAGCUGCCCUCUGAUUUGAUUGCUUACCAAAAAAAGGCCAUGCAAUUGACAGUUUGCCCGAGGAGUUAAAGCAGGACUAAAUCAAAGGGCCAUGCAAUUUUUACAUGCCUAUACGUGAUCUCUCCCUGCUGAUUAGACCUCUCCUUAGUUUGUCUUCUUCACAAGCAUCAGCCAGGUCAAAAGCGCUCCAUCGUUCAGCUUCUACACGGGCAUACCCAGGUAAUCAU
rnacentral:lncRNA from 1 species